AUUGAACGCUGGCGGCAGGCUUAACACAUGCAAGUCGAACGGUAACAGGGAUUAGCUUGCUAAUUUGCUGACGAGUGGCGGACGGGUGAGUAAUGCUUGGGAAUCUGGCUUAUGGAGGGGGAUAACUACGGGAAACUGUAGCUAAUACCGCGUAAUAUCGGAAGAUUAAAGGGUGGGACUUUCGGGCCACCUGCCAUAAGAUGAGCCCAAGUGGGAUUAGGUAGUUGGUUAGGUAAAGGCUGACCAAGCCGACGAUCUCUAGCUGGUCUGAGAGGAUGACCAGCCACACUGGAACUGAGACACGGUCCAGACUCCUACGGGAGGCAGCAGUGGGGAAUAUUGCACAAUGGGGGGAACCCUGAUGCAGCCAUGCCGCGUGAAUGAAGAAGGCCUUCGGGUUGUAAAGUUCUUUCGGUGACGAGGAAGGUGAUAGGUUAAUAGCCUAUCAAAACUGACGUAAUCACAG
rnacentral:rRNA from 1 species